GGCCUGGGCCCCGCGCGCCCUGGUUCUCGGCGCCGCGACCUGUCGACAUACUACCACUUGUUACGGGACGCUGCGAGGUUCAGCGUUCCAAGUUCUGCCUGGGCAAAGGCUAUGCUGCGCGACCAAAGGUCACAAGAAGUUGGUGUCUAUGUUUUGCUGCCGAAGCCGACGACGAGAGGAGGAGGAAGAAGAGAGUGCGUUUCGGGC
rnacentral:lncRNA from 1 species